UACGUAGGGUGCGAGCGUUAAUCGGAAUUACUGGGCGUAAAGCGUGCGCAGGCGGUUGUGCAAGACAGAUGUGAAAUCCCCGGGCUUAACCUGGGAACUGCAUUUGUGACUGUACGGCUAGAGUGCGGCAGAGGGGGAUGGAAUUCCGCGUGUAGCAGUGAAAUGCGUAGAUAUGCGGAGGAACACCGAUGGCGAAGGCAAUCCCCUGGGCCUGCACUGACGCUCAUGCACGAAAGCUGGGGAGCAAAAGGGA
rnacentral:rRNA from 1 species